GAUGAACGCUGGCGGCGUGCCUAAUACAUGCAAGUCGAGCGAACAGACGAGGAGCUUGCUCCUCUGACGUUAGCGGCGGACGGGUGAGUAACACGUGGAUAACCUACCUAUAAGACUGGGAUAACUUCGGGAAACCGGAGCUAAUCCCGGAUAAUAUAUUGAACCGCAUGGUUCAAUAGUGAAAGACGGUUUUGCUGUCACUUAUAGAUGGAUCCGCGCCGCAUUAGCUAGUUGUUAGGGUAACGGCUUACCAGGGCGACGAUGCGUAGCCGACCUGAGAGGGUGUACGGCCACACUGAAGCUGAGACGCGAUCCAGACUCCUACGGGAGGCAGCAGUAGGGACGCUUCCGCAAUGUGCGAAAGCCUGACGGAGCAACGCAGCGUGAGUGAUGAAGGUCUUCGGAUCGUAAAACUCUGUUAUUAGGGAAGAACAAAUGUGUAAGUAACUAUGCGCGUCUUGACGGUACCUAAUCAGAAAGCCACGGCUAACUACGG
rnacentral:rRNA from 1 species